rnacentral:sRNA from 1 species
AGAUCUGAACCUGAUUUGUGUGCGCGCCGCGUCUCCAACGAGCCCGGAUCCACUGCGCUGCCAGGGGCCUGGGGGUGGGUCUCUUGCUGUCUCUGCGACGACAUCCUUACGUUUUGGCACUCUAAUGCUGGGUUUGUGCGUGUGUGUCUGCUUAGCGGUCUAGCGGGCUGUUAGGCUCCCUCGCCCCCAGCUCCUUGGCUUGCUCAGCUCCUCCACCGCAGCCCAGCAGUGAGACGCGCGCGCCACCAGCUCCGCACGAGAUGGAGCAGACCGAAGUGCUGAAGCCACGGACCCUGGCCGAUCUGAUCCGCAUCCUGCACCAGCUCUUCGCCGGCGAUGAGGUCAAUGUAGAGGAGGUGCAGGCCAUCAUGGAAGCCUACGAGAGCGACCCCACCGAGUGGGCAAUGUACGCCAAGUUCGACCAGUACAGUCGUUGUCGUGGUUUGCAGUUUGUUGUUGGUGGCAGUGGUGGUGGUUGGUUGUGGUAUACCCGAAAUCUUGUGGAUCAAGGAAAUGGAAAAUUUAAUUUGAUGAUUCUCUGUUGGGGUGAAGGA